rfam:TPA: Bos taurus chromosome 22, whole genome shotgun sequence.
CCCCUGGUGGUCCAGUGGUUAGGACUCAGCACUUUGACUGCCAUGGGCCUGGGUUCAAUCCCUGGUCAGGGAA